rnacentral:rRNA from 1 species
UACAGAGGUCUCAAGCGUUGUUCGGAUUCAUUGGGCGUAAAGGGUGCGUAGGCGGCGCGGUAAGUCGGGUGUGAAAUCUUGGGAGCUUAACUCCGAAACUGCAUUCGAUACUGCCGUGCUUGAGGACUGGAGAGGAGACUGGAAUUUACGGUGGUAAGCGGUGAAAUGCGUAGAUAUCGUAAGAAGACCAGUGCGAAGGCGG